rnacentral:lncRNA from 1 species
GAGAAGAAAAAUUGAAUCUCCCUGAAGUCUCUGAUUGUCCCUUGGUCUAUUAUUUUCUCAUAGUAUACAAAUGAAGGACCAAUUCGAUAAUCUCACAGCAGAAAAAAGGUUUUGACUGGUAAUAUGAUAUGCGGCAAAGGAAGCGCAACUCCGUGUUCUUGUUUGUUGAGUUGUAAUUGCUUCCAUACGGCAAACAUGGUGAUAACAGCCAUGGACGGAACUGCAAACGCAUAGCAGCGCAUGUAAGGAUGACGAUAGAGAACUUGUUGAAAUCACAAAGGUGGUGCGAUUUCCAGCGACCCCUCAUUGCACCAACAAAUGAGUAAUCUGCUACAAAGACAUUAGCUGGAAACAAACACAUAUAGGGACGCUACGCUUGGCUCAGCAACUUCAACAUCGACCAUGAAUUUGCCGUUGGACCUUCCUCCAUGUGUCUGAAUUCAGAGCAGGGCCCGGAAUUCUAAAUAGAAGAUGAAGGGAUUUCUAAGCUUACCAAAG